UCAUUCUAGAUACACUUUCCAGUACAUCUACUAUGUUACGACUUAUCUUACCUUAAUAAUAAGAGCGACGGGCGAUGUGUACAUAUUUUAGAGCUAAAAUCAAAUUAUUAAUCUUUAUAAUUUUACAACCAAAUCCACCUUCAAAAAUUUUUUCAUAAUUUUAUCCGUUUAAAUAAAUUUAUUGUAACCCAUUAUUACUUAAACAUAAGCUACACCUUGAUCUGAUAUAAAUUUUAAUAAAAAUUAUUGAAUAUUAUUAUUCUUAUAAAAUAUUCUGAUAACGACGGUAUAUAAACUGAUUACAAAUUUAAGUAAGGUCCAUCGUGGAUUAUCGAUUACAAAACAGGUUCCUCUGGAUAGACUAAAAUACCGCCAAAUUUUUUAAGUUUCAAGAACAUAACUAUUACUACUUAAAUAUU
rnacentral:rRNA from 1 species